GGACAGGUGGCAGAGCCUGGUUGAAUGCACCGGUCUUGAAAACCGGCGAGGGUCAUACCUCCGUGGGUUCGAAUCCCACCCUGUCCACCA
rnacentral:tRNA from 1 species